rnacentral:rRNA from 1 species
CCUACGGGAGGCAGCAGUGGGGAAUAUUGCACAAUGGGCGCAAGCCUGAUGCAGCCAUGCCGCGUGUGUGAAGAAGGCCUUCGGGUUGUAAAGCACUUUCAGCGGGGAGGAAGGCGGUGAGGUUAAUAACCUCAUCGAUUGACGUUACCCGCAGAAGAAGCACCGGCUAACUCCGUGCCAGCGGCCGCGGUAAUACGGAGGGUGCAAGCGUUAAUCGGAAUUACUGGGCGUAAAGCGCACGCAGGCGGUCUGUCAAGUCGGAUGUGAAAUCCCCGGGCUCAACCUGGGAACUGCAUUCGAAACUGGCAGGCUAGAGUCUUGUAGAGGGGGGUAGAAUUCCAGGUGUAGCGGUGAAAUGCGUAGAGAUCUGGAGGAAUACCGGUGGCGAAGGCGGCCCCCUGGACAAAGACUGACGCUCAGGUGCGAAAGCGUGGGGAGCAAACAGGAUUAGAUACCCGAGUAGUC